ensembl:lncRNA
AGCCACUUCAGGUACCAGAUACCAUGUUUUCGCGGUGGAAACGCAAAAAAUGCGAGCUGACUCGACUCGACUCGACUCGACUCGACACGACUCGACACGGUAGCAGCACGGGUCGUUUUCCACCGCAAAUAGUACCUCCUGGACGUGGGCGGGGUCGGCUGCGCGAAAGGGCCGUGACGUAUUUUUGUAUGCGACGCAAACAACACCUACGCAACCCACACAUGGACAGAACCCACAUAACAACAAUGGAGGACAUCGAUAACAUUACUAUUAUUAGCUGGCAUGUUGAAGAAGUUGAAGAAGUGGAAUAUGUUGGCUGCGGCGCUGCUAUGGAUGUUACCAGCAUGGUUGCCAUGUGGCCAGAGAGUGUGACGAAGUCACACUCUCUGGCCAAUCAGUGGCCGGCAUCGGCUCAGCCGCUUGGAACCUAGAGCGAGGCGGUACUAGAAAAAGCAGCCACUUCAGAUGUGCUCAACACCAACAAUAAACUUUGCAUUCAAUGACCUUCCAUGGAUAUAAACCAUCCCCAACAGCCCUAAACAGCCAGAAGACUGUGGCUUCUACAUUAGGCUGAGAUCAAGGCAAGACCAGACAUUUCAAACUGAACAGCAGAACACUAUUUUAGUUUUUGUUUGUAA